rfam:Schistosoma haematobium scaffold207_4, whole genome shotgun sequence.
AUCCAACUAACGAGUUCCAGAUAGGACGAAAUCCAUGUCCUGGAU